AGAGUUUGAUCCUGGCUCAGAACGAACGCUGGCGGCAUGCCUAACACAUGCAAGUCGAACGAGACCUUCGGGUCUAGUGGCGCACGGGUGCGUAACGCGUGGGGAUCUGCCCUUUGCUUCGGAAUAACAGUUAGAAAUGACUGCUAAUACCGGAUGAUGACUUCGGUCCAAAGAUUUAUCGGCAAAGGAUGAACCCGCGUAGGAUUAGCUAGUUGGUGGGGUAAAGGCCUACCAAGGCGACGAUCCUUAGCUGGUCUGAGAGGAUGAUCAGCCACACUGGGACUGAGACACGGCCCAGACUCCUACGGGAGGCAGCAGUGGGAAUAUUGGACAAUGGGCGAAAGCCUGAUCCAGCAAUGCCGCGUGAGUGAUGAAGGCCUUAGGGUUGUAAAGCUCUUUACCCGGGAUGAUAAUGACAGUACCGGGAGAAUAAGCUCCGGCUAACUCCGUG
rnacentral:rRNA from 1 species